AGUGAACGCUGGCGGUAGGCCUAACACAUGCAAGUCGAACGGCAGCACAGUAAGAGCUUGCUCUUACGGGUGGCGAGUGGCGGACGGGUGAGGAAUACAUCGGAAUCUACUUUUUCGUGGGGGAUAACGUAGGGAAACUUACGCUAAUACCGCAUACGACCUACGGGUGAAAGCAGGGGAUCUUCGGACCUUGCGCGAUUGAAUGAGCCGAUGUCGGAUUAGCUAGUUGGCGGGGUAAAGGCCCACCAAGGCGACGAUCCGUAGCUGGUCUGAGAGGAUGAUCAGCGACAGUGGAAGGGAGACACGGUCCAGACGCCUACGGGAGGCAGCAGUGGGGAAUAUUGGACAAUGGGCGCAAGCCUGAGCCAGCCAUACCGCGUGGGUGAAGAAGGCCUUCGGGUUGUAAAGCCCUUUUGUUGGGAAAGAAAAGCAGCAGGUUAAUACCCGGGUGUUCUGACGGUACCCAAAGAAUAAGCACCGGCUAACUUCGUG
rnacentral:rRNA from 1 species